UGUUCUGCUGCAAGAUAUUGAAGACUUUGUCUACACACAUAUCAUAUUUAGGAUUGUCCUUUCAGUUCACCUCUUUAAAGAGAGAGAAGUCUUACUCUUUGCAACUCCUAGGACUAGUGUCUCCCCAAGCAAGCUUUAGGGAACUCUGCUUUGAAGGCAUCUUAAUGGACUCUUGGACUUUUUUUUUUUUUUAAGACCCUUGCAAUAAUGAAGGUUCAUAGCAUACGUUUUUGUCAAAGCAGAUGGGUUCUUUCCACUGAAAGGUGUUUCCACACAUGACCUUGAAGACAGAUUAAUAAAGGAAGAAAGUAGGAAUAUUAGGCUGACAGACAUUUUAAAGUAGAGCAUAACAGAUGACAUAAAGAGCAUCCUGAAAGUUUAAAUAGGAGUUAUAAUGUGCAUUAUAUGGAAGAGACUGGAUUAGAGUCGUUGAAUAUUUAUAAUACACAUAUGUGAGUAUAUGACCAGCGCCCUCCCAGUUUGAGGGAGAAAUGGACAGAAUCCAAUUCACAUUUGAGCCUGCUUCUCCUUAAAUUUCCUCAUGUAAAAAGGAAGAAGUAUUGCUAAAUUUACAAAGAUACACCUCAGGAUAAAGCUUGAGUUCACUGCACUGCCUUUCAUCUUCCCGGAUAGGGGCCCUUAAGAAGUGGCCAAGACCUUUCCAUCAAUGAGCAAAGACUUCCAGGAAAAAGAAUUGAAGGAGACAGGUAUUGGAUUAAUUUUAAGAAGCUUUUGCUGAAAUUUCUCAUAAAGAAUACAUGGAAAGGAAAGACAUAAGGAGAUAUAUAUAGCUCUAUGGGUCAAAAAAAAAAUCACCUCUAAAUUCCCAUGGUUUUUCUCUGUUAGUCUUUAUUGAAAAAUUCAUUUACUGCUAAUGGUGUCAAGGGGUCCUGUCAGCCCUUGUUAUUGUACCAAAAAGUAAAAUAAAGAAAAGGUUUAGGGAGCCUUGUCUGAAAAGGAAUGUUGCCAUUUCUGUUUUCCAACUAUCUAGUGAAAACAGAUUCUGUUAUCUAAACUUCACAGAGCUAAGAGUCCAGUAACCACCUUGUUAUGGUGAGUUUGUGAAGCCUGAUAAGAGAUUUAUACUAAAUAAGAAGGGGAAUCAGGCAGGCAAUUGCCUUUUGGAGAGGAAGAAUAAAAUAAGAUGGAAAUCGACAGGGAAAAUGGUGAAAACACAAGUCUUGGUUUUCAGAUGAUUCUAGAGCUC
rnacentral:lncRNA from 1 species